UUUCCUUUUCUAUUAAUUCCUCCGGAUUAGAUAAAAACAAUUUUUGAGUGAGGUAUUCAACUGGAUGAAUCAAAAAAGAAAUCUUUAUUGGUUCUAUUAAUUAUUUAUUAAUAGAAUAGAUUUCAAAGAGACUACUGCUAAGAAAUGGGCUCUUGUUUGGUAAAGAUAUCCUCUUGUGUUGGAUUGUUAUUGUUCAUGCUUUGCUUCAACUUCAGUGUGAAGCUUGCACUUGGCACAGGCACAGGCACAGCUAACUGUCCAGAUUUAUCAUGCGGAAAUCAGGUGAUCCGAUUCCCUUUCCGAAUCAGAGGCCACCAUCCUACAACCUGUGGCUAUCCGGGGUUUGACUUAUCUUGUUCCUCAGAUAACAACACAGUGAUUGAACUCCCUCACUCAGUGAAGCUCAAUGUCAAAAACAUUGAUUACAGACACCAAACUAUUGAAUUAUCUGAUCCACAUGGCUGUCUUCCCAAGCAGCUCCAACACCUCACUUUAUCAGCCUCCCAUUUCCAGUUAAAGCCUGACAAGCAUGGUGGCUAUAACUUCUUCAAUUGUUCACUGAUGGAUAGAGAUUCAGAUUUGGACUACUAUUUGGUUCCGUGCCUCAUCACCUCAACUGCUCGAGUAUACGCCAUUCCGUCCAGUAGAACCUUGGUGGGUCUUCCCUUGUUGUUCUGCACUAAAAUUUUUAAUAUUUCUUACGGCCCUUUUAAUUUUCAAAGAGAUCAGGACACCUUUCUUCGUUUCACAUGGACUGAACCCAAGUGUAAACAAUGUGAAUCAAAAGGGAGAACAUGUGGAUGGAAGAAUCAUUCUGCCAACAACCAAUUAUAUUGUUUCCCCAAUCACAAAGGUUCUUCUUCAACAGCUCUUGUGACUACAGGAUCAGUCCUAGGAUCCUUGGUUUUUGUUCUGUUGACUGGUGCAGUCUACCACAUUUAUGACUCUUACAGACUGAGGAAAGAAAAACAAGCAAUAUUUGAAAAAUUUCUUGAAGACUACAGAGCUCUUAAGCCCACAAGAUACUCUUAUGUCGAAAUUAAGAGAAUCACCAACAAUUUUGAGCACAAGUUAGGAGAGGGAGCCUUCGGAACCGUAUUUAAAGGAAGCAUUUCCAAAGAAAUUCCUAUUGCGGUGAAGAUCUUGAACAUUUCUCACGGAAAGGGGGGAAGAAUUCAUCAAUGAAGUUAGCACCAUGGGUAGAAUCCACCAUGUUAACAUUGUUCGCAUGGUGGGUUUCUGUGCUGAUGGCUUUCAAAGAGCUCUUGUUUAUGAGUUCUUACCUAACGGUUCACUCCAGAAGUUCAUUAAUUCACCAGACAACAAGCAAAACUUCCUUGGUUGGAAAACGCUUCAUGAAAUUGCUUUAGGAGUAGCCAAGGGAAUUGAGUAUCUUCAUCAAGGUUGUAAUCAGCGCAUUCUCCACUUCGAUAUCAAGCCUCAAAAUGUGUUGCUAGACCACAACUUUGGUCCAAAAAUAUGUGACUUUGGUCUUGCCAAAUUGUGCUCAAGGGAUCAGAGCAUAGUGUCAAUGACUGCAGCUAGAGGAACUUUAGGGUACAUUGCUCCUGAAGUGUUCUCAAGAAACUUUGGCAAUGUAUCUUACAAGUCAGACGUUUAUAGCUAUGGAAUGAUGCUGCUUGAAACAAUAGGAGGGAGGAAGAUUACGGAAGACAUGGACGAAAAUACUAGCCAUGUUAACUACCCAGAAUGGAUUCAUAAUCUUUUAGAAGAAGAUGAGGAAAUGAGAAUCCAUAUUGAAGAAGAAGGGGAUGCAGAAAUAGCAAGGAAACUAGCUAUUGUGGGACUUUGGUGCAUCCAGUGGCAUGCCAUGGAUAGACCAUCAAUGCAAAUGGUGCUUCAAAUGUUAGAAGGAGAUGCAGACACAACUCCAAUACCUCCUAAUCCUUUCACUUCUUCAGCAGGUGCAGGACUGAGAAGAACAAGUGCUACGUCGGGUGUUGCUGCAAGACAACUACCCCAAGAUUUAGAAGUAAUCCAGGAGUUAGAGUGACUAUAGCUAACAAUGGUGAAAUAGACGUCAUUUUCUUUUGCCUUUUGUUUCUCAGUUAUACCGUUAAUAUGCCAUAAAAAGCAAUAUAUAUUAGUUCUGUAUUGAACUGCCUAUUAAGCCUGUGAAGCAUCCUAUUGUACUUUUGUGAUACAACUUUGAUACAUUCACAAAUAUUUUCUUUUUUAUCCCAUUUACUUUUACUUUC